rnacentral:rRNA from 1 species
GGUCAAGCUACAAAGGGCUCACGGAGAAUACCUA